rnacentral:rRNA from 1 species
UACGAAGGGGGCUAGCGUUGUUCGGAUUUACUGGGCGUAAAGCGCACGUAGGCGGAUCCUUAAGUCAGGGGUGAAAUCCCGGGGCUCAACCUCGGAACUGCCUUUGAUACUGGGGAUCUCGAGUCCGGGAGAGGUGAGCGGAACUGCGAGUGUAGAGGUGAAAUUCGUAGAUAUUCGCUAGAACACCAGUGGCGAAGGCGGCUCACUGGCCCGGUACUGACGCUGAGGUGCGAAAGCGUGGGGAGCAAACAGG